UACGUAGGGGGCAAGCGUUAUCCGGAUUUACUGGGUGUAAAGGGAGCGUAGACGGUGAUGCAAGUCGGAAGUGAAAGCCCGGGGCUCAACUCCGGGACUGCUUUUGAAACUGUGUGACUGGAGUGCAGGAGAGGUAUGCGGAAUGCGUGGUGUAGCGGUGAAAUGCUUAGAUAUUGCGCAGAACUCCGAUUGCGAAGGCAGCAUACCGGCGGCGAUCUGACGCUGAGGCACGAAAGCGUGGGGAGCAAAAAGG
rnacentral:rRNA from 1 species